CCCGCCACCAGUAUACUCUCCUCCCCCACCUCCACCGUCACCCCCCGCACCAGUUUACUGUCCUCCACCACCUCCAACCUAUUGUGUACGAUCACCACCACCUCCUCCACCUCCAACUGCAUCCCCGCCUCCGCCGCCCUUGUUUUCUCCACCACCACCUGUUCCAUAUUACUACAACUCACCUCCUCCGCCUCAUUCACCGCCCCCAUAUUACUAUAACUCACCGCCUCCACCACACUCUCCACCACCACCUCCACCUCACUCACCGCCUCCACCACCUCCAUCUUAUAUCUACUCAUCACCACCACCACCACCACCUGUAGCCCAUUCUCCACCUCCCCCAGUCCAUUCUCCGCCUCCCCCAGUCCAUUCUCCACCACCACCACCACCAUCACCACCUCCUCCACCUCCUUGUAUAGAACUACCUCCACCUCCCUGUAUAGAACCGCCACCACCACCAUCCCCAACCCCAUCACCUCCACCACCACCGCAUAAAUCACCUCCACCACCAGCACCUGUUUACAGUUCUCCACCACCCCCAGUCCACCACCCGUCCCCAC
rnacentral:lncRNA from 1 species